rnacentral:misc_RNA from 1 species
UCUCCGUAGGUGAACCUGCGGAGGGAUCAUUACAGAGUUCAUGCCCUACCGGGUAGAUCUCCCACCCUAUGUUAUUAUUACUUUGUUGCUUUGGCGGGCCGUUAGGCUCCGGCCCGACUACCGGCCCCGGCUGGUAAGCGCCCGCCAGAGGACCCAAAACCCUGAAUAUUAGUGUCGUCUGAGUACUAUAUAAUAGUUAAAACUUUCAACAACGGAUCUCUUGGUUCUGGCAUAGAUGAAGAACGCAGC